AUUGAACGCUGGCGGCAGGCUUAACACAUGCAAGUCGAGCGGGGUGAUGGUGCUUGCACUAUCACUUAGCGGCGGACGGGUGAGUAAUGCUUAGGAAUCUGCCUAUUAGUGGGGGACAACAUCUCGAAAGGGAUGCUAAUACCGCAUACGUCCUACGGGAGAAAGCAGGGGAUCACUUGUGACCUUGCGCUAAUAGAUGAGCCUAAGUCGGAUUAGCUAGUUGGUGUGGUAAAGGCCUACCAAGGCGACGAUCUGUAGCGGGUCUGAGAGGAUGAUCCGCCACACUGGGACUGAGACACGGCCCAGACUCCUACGGGAGGCAGCAGUGGGGAAUAUUGGACAAUGGGGGGAACCCUGAUCCAGCCAUGCCGCGUGUGUGAAGAAGGCCUUUGGUUGUAAAGCACUUUAAGCGAGGAGGAGGCUCUUUUGGUUAAUACCCAAGAUGAGUGGACGUUACUCGCAGAAUAAGCACCGGCUAACUCUGUGCCAGCAGCCGCAGUAA
rnacentral:rRNA from 1 species